AUAACAAAUAUGACGUUAUUUUGCCAGCAGAAACGUAAAAUAGCUUUGAUAUAACAUUUAUAAUAACAAUCGAUUAUUUAAAACAAAUAAAUCGACCAUUUUUUGCACAAAUAAUUUCACUUUAAACUAAAUAUGUAAAUUUUAUUGAUUGCUGUUUGAUAAGUCGCUGCCGUCUUCAAAUUGUUCAAGACGCUGGCUUCAUAACGACAUUUGUGUCGUGUCGUCGUCUUUGUGUUCAGCACUUCUAUCUGAGAAAUCAUCAACAUGAGCACGAAGACUUUGACAAUUGAAUGAUGUUAUUGAUAAACAUUUUCUUGUGCUAAGAAACUCGAAUAAUUCUUUUUCUAAGGUGACAAUUGGAUUUCGACGUAAUUUUCUCAUUUCAUCUCGCAAAGCGCGACAUGACCUGUCAUUGGUUCCAAUGCCAUGAUAUAAUUUUUUUCUGUUUGUUCACUGGGAUAAUGUAAAUUUGGUGGUUGACAAACUUACGUGCACACAUAUACAAAUGUAAGUUUGUGUGUUUGUUCAAUGACAUAUAAACAUGUACAUAUGUAUGUUUAUGCAUAAUGUUGCUGUUGAGCAACAAUUAUCGCAACUGUUCCGAACUCGUAUAAGAAGUAUAACUUCAAUAACAACUACCCUGCAGUACGGCUGGUAAGAAUUGGUGAAUUGCACUAGUGAAUUCUUGUGUUACAAGUAACUAGAGAAUUCACGACAACGAGGUAAUGCAGAGAAGCAAUAGUACGUGAGAGAGAGAAGAGAGCAUGAUCUAAAGAAUGUUGUGCUCAAUAUGUACUCUCAGUAGAAUAUUAGCGACAAAUAAGGGUGGUGUACAAUUGAUCUCGCGUCGCGGAUUCUAAUACGUUAAUUGUUUAUUAAAAGUGUUAUUAAAAGGUGAAUAAUUAAAUUAAAUAAUAGUGAAUAAAAACAAAGAAAAAUCGGUAAAAGUGUUAUAAAAAGGUGAAUAAUUAAAUUAAAUAAUAGUGAAUAAAAACAAAGAAAAUAUAAAUAUUUUAUAUGUAUAUAUGUAUGCAAAAAAAUGGAUUGCCCAGCACAAUGAAAAGAGAUCAACACCAAAUUUUAAUGGAACUCUUAGAAAUGUGGCUUGGGGAUAUAAGUGCAGUGAUAAAUAUGUCGCUUUUGAAUCCAGCCGAAGUGCACAAAAAUUUUGACUGAUAUUAACCAACUCUGUUGUUCAUAUGGUAAAUAUAAUUGUAAACAAAGAAAUUUUGAAUAAAAAUUAAUAUUGUUAAUUAUAUAAAAUUUUAAUAAAAUUUGUGUUUAAUUAUGUUUGGAAUAAAUUAGCUAGGUUGAGAGGUAGUGAAGAAAGUAGUGAAAUUUAAUAGUCGGUAAGUUGUGAGAUAACUAAUGAUAUAUAGUCAGUGAUAUGUGGUGAAGUAGCUAGUGAAGUAUAGGCGGUGAAAUCACUCGUGAAUAGUGUUAAUCGGUUACCGCCAAUGACAUCGCCGUGUUAAAUUCAUGAGUGAUUGUAUUGCCGGUAUUAUGGUGGGUAACCAGUGGUGGUUACCAGUAAGUAGUGAACUCACUAGUGUUUCACUAAUGAGCCGAAGUAGACUUCUUUUUGAUAUGCGUGCGCGUAAGUUUGUCAACCACCAAAAAUCAAAAGCAAUGUUCUACAAAAACAACAAGCGCAUGCUCAUAUAUAUUCAUACAUAUUUACGACAAGCCGAUUUUCUACCAACAACUUGUAGAGUUUGAUUUUGGUUCGCCGAGAGAGGACUUUACUGUUCAAUUGCCUACUCAGUCCAAAGUAGCACCUGUUGGCAAGAGUGAUUCUGCGCUGGAUUUCGAGGCUGUUGGCAGUCAUAACUUCGAAGUUGUAGAUAAUUUCGUAUACCUGGGAACCAGUAUCAACAACACCAACAAUGUCAUAUCCAAUUAUGUAUACUAAUUUGAGUGCAGUCUUGCAAUUUAAGGUUUCUGGUAUUUUUCCAUACUGUUUCCUUAAAUUUUUUACUGCAUAAUGUGGUGUCUAAAGGAAUUGACUCCAGAAUUUUUUGUUGAACCUUCUUAUAGUGCCAAGAAAUACAUGUACCAAGUUUCAUUCAGGUGUCUUAAUAUUUAUUUAAGUUAUCGCUUGCACGGACGGACUGACGGACGGACAUCCGGAGUCACCCUGAUCAUUUUGGUAUUUAUAACUCAAUAUAAAAAUCAUCGAAAUUACCAUAAAAAACUAUUUAAAUUUUCAGUCACCUAGUUUGUGUUCUCGCCUUUAUCGAAAAAAUGUAAAUCAUACUGUCGAGGUACUCGUCGUUAAAAUAAUAUUAUUAGUAUUUUAUAUAAAAGAAAUUUAGUGUAUUUGCGUCUGAGUGUAAGUGUUUAUACAUACAAUUUGUAUUUGUAUUAUAAUUACAAAUACGACCUGUAUAUGGGUGGGUAAUCCCGCGAUGGUUUGUUGAGUUGGGGUGAUCCGCGGUGAUUUCACUGAGCCGGUGUUGGCGCCUUUUCCGUCCGUCCGUCCGUGAUUCUGCUUCCUUCUCUCUUGUUGUGUACUUAUUAUAAUCAGUAUUCGCGGUUUUUCGCUAUUGAUAAUUUCUACAUUGUCCUCUAAUUCGUAUUUAGACGAGUGUUCUUCUGGCAUGAACACAUACAAUGUUUUUUCUUUGCUGGUGUCCAUCUUUGACGCGUGAGAAAACAAUACUGAGUCAAGCAAUCACAAACUGUUUGAAAAGUUUUAGUACGAAAUCGUGUCUUACGAACUGUCUCGAAAAAUUUGGAUUUCGUUUUACUAGAUUAAUAUAAUGGUGAGCACGCGACCUUAGCCAUUAUUUUUUAGCUUUAUUUUUUCUUUGCAGCUUACUACAAAUUUAUCGGAACCGAUUUUUCCAUUUUAAUGACAUAUAUUCAAAAUAUUUUAAUUUUUCAAAUUAUUUUAUAUUAUCCCCACAUUCAAAGAACUGAAAAAGAAUACCUUUAUGUAAAAUAAGGAUCUAAAAUACUUACAUAUGUAGUGUUUUAAGAAUGAGGUAGAAAUUUAAUAAAAUACAUGGUUGUAAGAAUUAAAUAAACAGUAAAAGUGAAAACUUGUUCCAAUAUCACCAAAGACGUCGCCGGCCCAUAAGCCGCAACAAACCGUAAUUUUUUCGUAAUGCAAUUGUGCGACUCAUGUAGUACGUGUGGAUUGCUGCCUCACCAACAACUCAUAUUUUGCUUAUGGACGGAGCUAUUCAGCUAUAAAUGAUGUAUGUGA